AUUGAACGCUGGCGGCAGGCCUAACACAUGCAAGUCGAGCGGAUGAAGGGAGCUUGCUCCUGAAUUCAGCGGCGGACGGGUGAGUAAUGCCUAGGAAUCUGCCUGGUAGUGGGGGAUAACGUCCGGAAACGGGCGCUAAUACCGCAUACGUCCUGAGGGAGAAAGUGGGGGAUCUUCGGACCUCACGCUAUCAGAUGAGCCUAGGUCGGAUUAGCUAGUUGGUGGGGUAAAGGCCUACCAAGGCGACGAUCCGUAACUGGUCUGAGAGGAUGAUCAGUCACACUGGAACGGAGACACGGUCCAGACUCCUACGGGAGGCAGCAGUGGGGAAUAUUGGACAAUGGGCGAAAGCCUGAUCCAGCCAUGCCGCGUGUGUGAAGAAGGUCUUCGGAUUGUAAAGCACUUUAAGUUGGGAGGAAGGGCAGUAAGUUAAUACCUUGCUGUUUUGACGUUACCAACAGAAUAAGCACCGGCUAACUUCGUG
rnacentral:rRNA from 1 species